rnacentral:snRNA from 1 species
AGCUUUGCACAGUGGCAAUAUUGUAGCCAGUGCGGUUUAUCCGAGGCACGAUUAUUGCUAAUUGAGAAAAAAAAUUUGUGAGAGCCCCCUAAUAAAAUGAACUUAAAAAAACAUUUUAACUAUGUGAAUAG